GAAAUGCGAUAAGUAGUGUGAAUUGCAGAAUUCAGUGAAUCAUCGAAUCUUUGAACGCACAUUGCGCUCCUCGGUACUCCGAGGAGCAUGCCCGUUUCAGAAUCAUCUAGUAUCUCACACCAAAGGUCAGGUGCCUAUGUGCCUGGCUGGCCGUGUGGAGGAUGGGCGUUUUUUGUGUCAACUGAUGCAAUCGUCUGAAAAUGAUUGUGCGUGCCGCCGACUUUGUUGGCUUCACCUCAAAGUGCAACAGAGAGACUAUCUAUUUCACGAAGAGGUGGGCCGUUCGAGCUCGACAGGUGCGUUCUUGGUCACAUUACGGAUGGGGUGCCUGUUUUUGGCCUUCAUCUGAUAACUUGGUCUGAAAUCGGGCAAGGAAACCCGCUGAACUUAAGC
rnacentral:misc_RNA from 1 species